AUAUUGAAGUAUGUUAUAGACACAGUGAUGGUGGAUGUGAUAUCUCUUCAGCAUGCUGGAAAUGACACCAUGAAGAAACAUUAGACAUACCAAGAUCUGAGGACAAGGUCGGAAGAUUUAUAACAGGUCUUCUCUGAUUCCAGUCUGAUGGAAGAAGAGGAUGGCACCUAUUGCUGCCAGAUAUUUACUUAGAGUUACAUCCUUCUUCGUUCAUCCUGGGCCAUGAGUGAGUAGUGCACGCUGAGCACCGCAGAGCAGCAGGAUAGGAAAGCCAGACUCCCUCUCGAUUUGAUGAAGAUCCCAUGCCAGCGAUGGCUAUUUGUAAGGUGAAGUUCGCCUCUGAGUUGUGUACUUCAAAGUCAGACGUGUUUGCACUCCAGAGAGUAUCUUCCUAUCCUCUUCAGCACCUUGAAGCCACCAUCCAUAAAUAGAGAUUUGAGUUUCAGCUGUUUAUAGUGGCACCAAAGAUGUCUACUGAGCUUUGUUUCAUGUCCAGAGUCAGUGGGUCACAUUAAAACUCAGCUGCUAAAAUCCGACGUACAGUUAUGAAAGAAUGAAACAUUUUGGGACCAGAGCAGCACAGGACAUCGCGUCUUCUGGGAAGGGGAAACAAGCUCAUGGACAGCCUUAUGGAAUGACCCCGACAGUAAGGAAUUGAACCUUUUUGCCAACAAAAACCAAGAGUGGACAAGAAUGGCUGCUGGAUAUUUACUUUGGAUCUGAGAGGGUGUGUGAAGAAUAUUAGCUAAGAAAGGUACUACUGGUAGAUUAUAAGAACUUAUGUGUGACCACAAAAAUUUCCAUUUGUACUCUGUUCCAAACUCCAUGUAUUUAGAAGCUCCCCUCUCAAUUCCAUGCUGCUGACUCUGAGUCAGGCCCAAACUGACCAUGAAAACUGUCUCCUGUAGAGUUGUGGUGUUUUAUAAGAAGCAAUUUACAAAAAAAAAAUUCAUUUGAAAUUAAACAUUUCGAUUUAAAAAAAUUUAUAUUUUUGUACUAUCA